rnacentral:rRNA from 1 species
UACGGAGGGUGCGAGCGUUAUCCGGAAUCACUGGGCGUAAAGGACACGUAGGCGGUUUGUUAAGUCCGAUGUCAAAGCGUAGGGCUCAACCCUAUUUCGGCGUUGGAUACUGGCAGACUAGACAAUUGGAGAGGUAAGUAGAAUUACCAGUGUAGCGGUGGAAUGCGUAGAUACUGGUAGGAAUACCCAUUGCGAAGGCAGCUUACUGGACAAUUUGUGACGCUGAGGUGUGAAAGCGUGGGGAGCAAACCGG